CACGUAGGGGGCAAGCGUUGUCCGGAAUUAUUGGGCGUAAAGAGCUCGUAGGCGGCUCGGUAAGUCAGGUGUCAAAUCCUCAGGCUCAACCUGGGGCUCCACCUGAUACUGCUGUGGCUAGAGUCCGGUAGGGGAGCGUGGAAUUCCAGGUGUAGCGGUGAAAUGCGUAGAUAUCUGGAGGAACACCGGUGGCGAAGGCGGCAUCCUGGACCAAUUCUGACGCUGAGGAGCGAAAGCCAGGGGAGCAAAGCGGG
rnacentral:rRNA from 1 species